rnacentral:rRNA from 1 species
AACGAACGCUGGCGGCAUGCCUAACACAUGCAAGUCGAACGAGACCUUCGGGUCUAUUGGCGCACGGGUGCGUAACGCGUGGGAACCUGCCCUUAGGUUCGGAAUAACUCCCCGAAAGGGGUGCUAAUACCGGAUAAUGUCUUCGGACCAAAGAUUUAUCGCCUUUGGAUGGGCCCGCGUUGGAUUAGCUAGUUGGUAGGGUAAAAGCCUACCAAGGCGACGAUCCAUAGCUGGUCUGAGAGGAUGAUCAGCCACACUGGGACUGAGACACGGCCCAGACUCCUACGGGAGGUAGCAGUGGGGAAUAGUGGACAAUGGGCGAAAGCCUGAUCCAGCAAUGCCGCGUGAGUGAUGAAGGCCUUAGGGUUGUAAAGCUCUUUUAACCGGGAUGAUAAUGACAGUACCGGGAGAAUAAGCUCCGGCUAACUCCGUG